GCUGCUGUGGACCACUGCACUGGCGGCCGGCUGGUGAUCGCCAACCCCAAGUCUGCGAACCUAACGAUUUGAGUUAAGAUUGAACGUGAAUUUCCUUUUAUUUUACAAAAUCUUUCAAUUGAUGAUGUUCCUUGUAUUCUUAUGAGAGAAAGAGAGGGAGAACCAAAACUACCUGUCCUGGCAUCACACUUGAGGAGGAGAUGAAGUCGGUGAAUAUGACCUAGCCCGGGGGAGUUUCCAGAAGAAGGCCCAGAACCGCCGACCGCCAGGUGUGGAGGUCCUUCGUUGUUGCCCUACGUGCCAGGCGGCAUCAGGCAGUAGAUGAUGAAAUGGAAGGUGUCCUGAAUCUGCACCCAGUCAUCUGGUUUCGUAACACCUUUCAUAGCACCAUUGGAACCUGCUCCCUACCAGUAUAACAUCGAACAGAUUGGAAGAAUAACGGCCAAUGGGAAGUGCCUUUUAUACCCCUACUUGCCACACAGCAGUCUGUGGUUUAGGGCAAUCUAAACUGGAUUAUUGUAGCUCUUCGUGCUUGAAUUAGGGCGAUCUGGACCGACUGCAGAUAGUACAGAAUGCUGCACCUAUUGUGCCAUUUGCCAUACACCCACUUCAAAGUCAAUGACAGGGAUCCAGAUUACAUGUAUUAAAAGGAAUGCCUUGUGCGUCAUUUUCGUUCUAGGCGCACUUGCAUUUUUAUUUUUGUGAUCCUUAGUCUACCAUGCACCUACAAAUUAGCUACUGGUGAUGAAACUUUCUCCACUACUGCUCCAAGGCCAUGGAAUUAGCUCCAUCCUCUCCUCCAAUUUUUAACAACCUUGGAUCAAUAUCAUUUGAGAAGACCUACCACAUUCCUGAUCAUCUUUGCUCUGGACUUGGAACAACACUGUCACUGCCUCAUGUGCUGACUAGGAUGGCAUCUCAAAGUGCUUUGUAUCUCACAAAAUAGUGUGUUGUGUAAAAGAGAACAAGCAUUGAGGUCAAGCAUAAGGGUAACCAUGGAUAUGGCCUUUGAUUACUUUUUAACAAAACUUAAAAUUCAUCAAAAUAGGACAAGGGAUAAUAAAGUAAUGUAUGACAUUCUAAGCUCUGCAUUAUUUUGGUGAAAGACCUCUAAGCAUAUGCAAGUAGCCUGCUGAUGAUGUCAUACAGACGUACAUGUACAUGUAUCCCCAACUUAUUAUUUUGUAUAUAAAAUUGUGUAUUUAAAUUGGAUUGUAAACUGCAUUGAUGUGACUUUAUACCUGUAUUGAUUAUUGCUGGAAGUUCUUUUGCUACAUGGGAUUGGAAGACAUACUUAUUACACACAUGAAAUAAUUACUACAUGUAUUUCAUCUGGUAACAGAACAAUAAAAAUGUGGGCAUGAUAUCAUAAACUUAUUACCAAUAUUUUUGUAAUUAUUUUUUAUCUGAUUUUGAUAAAAUUUUCACUAUUUUGCAUGGUAAAUAUUACUUUAUUUAUCAUAGAUAUAAUUAUGUUGAGCCCGGAUAUACAAGUACCCCUUUAAAGAUAAAUUACCAGUUGUAGUAACAAUCUUAAAAUGAGUUCGAACAGAAUCCAAAUAUAGCUCGAGAAGAAAAUGCGUAAUUGCUGAGAAAUGAGCAAAAUAAGCAUGUAAAUCUAUCAAAUGUCAGGUAUUUUUCGAAUCAAUUAUAUUACACUGUCCUGUCUCACAUAUGUUUUUCUGUGUAAGUGAUCAUCAGAAUUAUUGAUUUUAAAGAUAAAUUCCAGUUCUGGUAACGAUCUCAAAAUGACUUUUUACAGAAUCUAAUAUAAUGACCACCCAAGUGUCUGUAUGAAUAAAAAAUAUGUGCCAAAUGAUUCUGGAAGAAAUUGUGUAAUUGCUGAGAAAUAAGCGCGGAUUCGGUCACUUCCGUCGGGUCUUUAUUCCAGAAAUAAUAAUACACUGUCUCACGUGUGCCUAUCUGUGUUGGUGAUCUUCAGUUUGAACGUUCUUAGCGUAGAUUUCAAGAUUUCACAAAGUUCAGUUUAUGUACAUGUAACUGUACCAGAUCUAGAUCCUCGAUGAUAUACUGACAAUUAAGCCUGGUUUUACAGACUUUCUCAUGAAAUCAGUGUUUGUCAACUGCAACUACUGGCAUUUCUCUUUAAGUUCAAAAUUCAUGAUUUUACAAAGAUACAAGUUUACAUUAAUGUACCAGAUCUAGAUCAUGUACAAUAUUUUGACAAUUAACCUUAAUUUAAAAGAAAUAAUUGUUUGCUGCAACUACUGUCAUUUACCCCUAAGUGAUAAUGUAAUACAAUCACAAACUUUUCAUAAGAAUUAAUGUACCUGUAUGAUUCUUAAACCCGAAUGCAAGCUUCCAUAAAUCCUGAAAUCAAUGCAACUCAGGUAUUUUUUUUUACAUAUAGUAUAUUUUUACCUACAUUACAUAGAUCUCUAAAGUUGAAGGUAUAUUUAAUUACAAUUUCAACAAAAAAGCUAUAUUCUUGGAGAUCAUUAUUAUUCAUAAUGCCUCUGUUAUGUAUUAAUGUAUUAAUGUGUAUUUAUGUAUUGGUAUAACAAACAUUGUAAUUAUUUCAUUCCUUUGACCCUAAUACUGCAUUUUCAUAGAAAAGUGUUUUUUUUUUUAUCUAUUUCUUUUCCUUUUUUUGCUGGUAAUAUCAUGUUAUGCAACUUUUAUUUAUUAAUAGAAUAUUUGUCAUGAUUUCAU